CCUACGGGAGGCAGCAGUGGGGAAUUUUGGACAAUGGGCGAAAGCCUGAUCCAGCCAUUCCGCGUGAGUGAAGAAGGCCUUCGGGUUGUAAAGCUCUUUCGCAAGGGAAGAAAACUUAUAUUCUAAUAAAGUAUGAGGAUGACGGUACCUUGAUAAGAAGCACCGGCUAACUACGUGCCAGCAGCCGCGGUAAUACGUAGGGUGCGAGCGUUAAUCGGAAUUACUGGGCGUAAAGCGUGCGCAGGCGGUUUUGAAAGUCAGAUGUGAAAUCCCCGAGCUCAACUUGGGAACUGCGUUUGAAACUCCAAAGGCUAGAGUAUAGGAGAGGGGGGUAGAAUUCCACGUGUAGCAGUGAAAUGCGUAGAGAUGUGGAGGAAUACCAAUGGCGAAGGCAGCCCCCUGGCCUAAUACUGACGCUCAUGCACGAAAGCGUGGGGAGCAAACAGGAUUAGAUACCCUGGUAGUCCACGCCCUAAACGAUGUCUACUAGUUGUUGGUGGAGUAAAAUCCAUUAGUAACGCAGCUAACGCGUGAAGUAGACCGCCUGGGGAGUACGGUCGCAAGAUUAAAACUCAAAUGAAUUGAGG
rnacentral:rRNA from 1 species